rnacentral:rRNA from 1 species
CACGUAGGGUGCAAGCGUUGUCCGGAAUUAUUGGGCGUAAAGAGCUUGUAGGCGGUUUGUCGCGUCUGCUGUGAAAUUUCGGGGCUCAACCCCGAACUUGCAGUGGGUACGGGCAGACUAGAGUGUGGUAGGGGAGACUGGAAUUCCUGGUGUAGCGGUGAAAUGCGCAGAUAUCAGGAGGAACACCGAUGGCGAAGGCAGGUCUCUGGGCCACUACUGACGCUGAGAAGCGAAAGCAUGGGGAGCGAACAGG